GACGAACGCUGGCGGCGUGCUUAACACAUGCAAGUCGAACGGAAAGGCCCUGCUUUUGUGGGGUGCUCGAGUGGCGAACGGGUGAGUAACACGUGAGUAACCUGCCCUUGACUUUGGGAUAACUUCAGGAAACUGGGGCUAAUACCGGAUAGGAGCUCCUGCUGCAUGGUGGGGGUUGGAAAGUUUCGGCGGUUGGGGAUGGACUCGCGGCUUAUCAGCUUGUUGGUGGGGUAGUGGCUUACCAAGGCUUUGACGGGUAGCCGGCCUGAGAGGGUGACCGGACAAGUUGGGACUGAGAUACGGCCCAGACUCCUACGGGAGGAAGCAGUGGGGAAUAGUGCACAAUGGGCGGAAGCGUGAUGCAGCAACGCCGCGGGCGGGAUGACGGCCUUGGGGUUGUAAACCGCUUUCGCCUGUGACGAAGCGUGAGUGACGGUAAUGGGUAAAGAAGCACCGGCUAACUACGUG
rnacentral:rRNA from 1 species